CCAUAUGAUGUUGAAAUACUGGCUCCCAUAUGAUACUCAAAGUUAAGCAACAUUGAGCCUGGUCAGUACCUAGAUGGGUGACCAGUUUGGAAUACCAGGUGCUGU